AAAAAAAAAAAAAGAAAAAAAAAGAAAAAAAAAAGGCUGACGAAAUGCAGGAAGAUCCUUCUUGUUAUUCUAGCAGUAUUGCUUCCUUUGCUUGGUAGGGGUGCUGAGGAAAUAUCAGCCGCGAGCGCUGCAGAGCAGUUAGCCACUUCUUGCUCACGCUUCAGCAUCUCCCCUGCCCAGGCUAGAAGGUGCUGCGAGCCCGAGUGACUCAUGCAGCUUGUUGCGAUUCAGCUCUCCUCUGGUGCCAGGAAAGACAGAUGUAGAAAAACUUUUGACACGGGUGGGGAAAAAAAAAGACCUGAAGCAAGGCAGGAGAGCAGGCUAGCAUUUCAGCGGGCUGCCCUCCGCCCGCGUCCCACUCGGGGAGCGCUGAGCCGCAGGAGCGGCAGGGUGCCGGCGGAGCUGCUGCUUGUUGUGACACAGCAGCUGGGACGAGCCUUCCGCAUUCCCCAGCCCGCUUAUUAAUACGAAUAACUCAUGACUCACACCGACACUGCCAGCGAGGCCGGGAAACUGUAGUCCGUAACUAUAAAGAGCUAUGAAGGGCUGCUCUCCGGCAGCACCCCAGCCAAGCUUGACGAGUGGUCUGCGACAGGCUUUGUGCGCCUUGUCAUCUGCACGGGUGCAACCCUGCUGCAAAAAGGGCUUGAGCGGUCAGAGGGCUUGGGUGGAAAGGGGAAAAGUUCAGCCGUAGCAUGAGCUAUUUAGGAAGGUAGUUAUGAGGAAGCGGACAAGUUUCUCGUGCCAGCCCCUGGCUUACUCGUAUGAAUAACCCAUGACUAAACCAUUAGCUCCACAGGGGGUUGUGAGAAUGUUAGAAGGAACCUCUGAGCACGCUUGGUCACUGGUGAAAAAAGACAAAUUGCUGGGUGAAGCCCUUCAAUUCCACCCCCCCUAACCCCCCCAGCCCUUACAGGACUGCUUCAUUUCUCUAAGGGCAGCUGCAGCUGAUAGUUCACAGUCAUCUGAGACCUACAUGGCAUCAACAGAAACUCUGAAUUUAUCCACUCCGCUUCUUUUCCUGAGCCACCAAGUAAAUAACUCGCUGUGCAAACCCAUCACUCUUCAGCAGUAUGAUAACAGAAGCUGCUCCGGAGGCGGUGUCCGCUCCCAAUGGGGGAUCUCUCAUGUUCCCAAUCACUUCUGAGCUCCUGGAACAGUUUAGGAGCUCCAGAUGCAUAUGAAGGUGGUACAGGAUGAGCUGAUGCACAUCCUUGAAGAUCAAAUGUGAAGUGCAAUGAAAACCCUGCCUCAGUUCCUGGGCAGCCAGCAGAGUGAAGAAUGACUACAAACAGAAGUUCCCCCUAACUGCAAAUUGAUCUGUGGCGCUACAAAGUAGGAAGCAAUUGCUGUAAAAGACUGGAAUUGUAUCUAUUAAUUUACUUUUGUUUGCUUGUACAAAGUAGGUUGUUUCUUUAUUCCUUUUUAUUCCCUUUCAAGCCAGAGAACGAAUUUAUUGCAAGGUUGAACAAAUGAGCCUUUGAAAAAAGCCCUCAUACCUAACAGAACAACUCUACCUUAUACACGCAUGCAAAAUAGAAGAUAUUCCACUGCUUUAGCUUCAUUUUUCUUUU